rnacentral:lncRNA from 1 species
AUUAAUGUGUGUAUUUGUCUAUCUGUCAGCUUGGUUUGGCACUCCCAAGGACAAGGAGUUCUGGACAACUUGGUUUGGCACUUUUUUAUUAUGUGAUUUGCCACUUCUUUUGUUAUUAUUUUCUCUCUCUAUUUUCCAGUUAUUUGAGAUAUAAAAACAAUAAGAAUUUUUCUCCUAAAUUAGAAGCAUAAUAGAGAAUUUGAAUAUGCUGUCCUUUCCUAAAUUGGUAUCUGUCACAAUCAUUUGUGUUGUUGUGCUUUCAUUUGGUGAUCUCUACCGUGACUGAAUUCUAUACAUUUCUUUUAUCUUCUUCAAUUAUUUUCUGGCCGUGUUUUACCUAUACUCUAAUAGCAUACUAACUGAGAUAGACUUCAAUUAUUUCAUGUUCUAAUAGCAUACU